AUUGAACGCUGGCGGCAUGCUUUACACAUGCAAGUCGAACGGUAACAGGCCGCUAGGUGCUGACGAGUGGCUAACGGGUGAGUAAUGCAUCGGAACGUGCCCUGUCGUGGGGUCUAACUACUCGAAAGAGUAGCUAAUACCGCAUACGAUCUAUGGUUGAAAGCGGGGGACCGUAAGGCCUCGCGCGAUUGGCGCGGCCGUGGUCAGAUUCGGAAGUUGGUGGGGUAAAGGCAGACCAAGCCAACGAUCUGUAGCUGUUCUGAGAGAGCGAACGGCCACACGGGAGCUGAGACACAGCCAUGUAUCCUACGGGAGGCAACAGGGGGGAAUGUUAGACAAUGGGCGCAAGCAUGAUACAGCAAGCCCGCGUGAAGGAAGAAGACCUUGGGGUUGUAAAGAACUUUUGGACGGAACGAAACGACUCUGGUUAAUACCAGGGGCUAGUGACGGUACCGUAAGAAUAAGCACCGGCUAACUACGUG
rnacentral:rRNA from 1 species